AUAUCAGACAUCUUUCCAGGC
rnacentral:siRNA from 1 species